rnacentral:rRNA from 1 species
UGGGGAAUAUUGCACAAUGGGCGCAAGCCUGAUGCAGCCAUGCCGCGUGUAUGAAGAAGGCCUUCGGGUUGUAAAGUACUUUCCGCGGGGAGGAAGGGAGUAAAGUUAAUACCUUUGCUCAUUGACGUUACCCGCAGAAGAAGCACCGGCUAACUCCGUGCCAGCAGCCGCGGUAAUACGGAGGGUGCAAGCGUUAAUCGGAAUUACUGGGCGUAAAGCGCACGCAGGCGGUUGAUUGAGUCAGAUGUGAAAUCCCCGGGCUUAACCCGGGAAUUGCAUCUGAUACUGGUCAGCUAGAGUCUUGUAGAGGGGGGUAGAAUUCCAUGUGUAGCGGUGAAAUGCGUAGAGAUGUGGAGGAAUACCGGUGGCGAAGGCGGCCCCCUGGACAAAGACUGACGCUCAGGUGCGAAAGCGUGGGGAGCAAACAGG